UACGGAGGGGGGCUAGCGUUGUUCGGAAUUACUGGGCGUAAAGCGCACGUAGGCGGCUUUGUAAGUUAGAGGUGAAAGCCCGGGGCUCAACUCCGGAAUUGCCUUUAAGACUGCAUCGCUCGAAUUGUGGAGAGGUGAGUGGAAUUCCGAGUGUAGAGGUGAAAUUCGUAGAUAUUCGGAAGAACACCAGUGGCGAAGGCGACUCACUGGACAUGUAUUGACGCUGAGGUGCGAAAGCGUGGGGAGCAAACAGG
rnacentral:rRNA from 1 species